CUCAACUAGGCAUGUCUCUUCCCCUCAUCCCCUCUCACGAGCACCUCGAUGUUGUCUCACGGAUCCAGCCCCUUCACAGCCGCCGGCCACCUGCAGCAACCCCAGGAUUGACGGCGUCUCCCAGACUGCCGCACAGUCCUGCCCCGGUGGCCUCGAGCUGCAGCUCUGGCACAUGGUACAGGACGCAUCGCUGCUAUUCCCAUGCGGAUCCACUGAGUUGACGAUGUUGAAUCAGUUGUGGCUUCCGGACCAUUCAUGGAGUUAUGAAGGGCGUCCCCUUCCAUUGUGGAGAUGGUUUCAGUUACGCUACAAGGGAUUUCAUUUCUUCCUGAAAAAUUCUGCCAGUCCUUCCUGAUUUGCACGUGUUAAUGUAACGGUUGAACAUCAGUUCUCUCUCAUCAUCCAUUGUGUAGGUUUAAGGACAUACAUAGGACAUGGCAGUUCUCUAAUGAGUAGCUAACUGAUCGCAUUUUUUUCUCGGUGCUCUUUUUUCCAGUUAGUAACAUACUGUCAGUGAUCAUUUGAUGUUGAUAUUUCAACCUCGCCCUUAAUUUAUCCCUUUGAUUCUCUCUUCCAGUGUAUGAUCUUCAGUGAGUCCUACUAGAAUGGAAGACGCUGCAAUAAUGUCUGAGUAAUGGAUGAUAGUUGCCUUUCUGAGAAACCACAGAAGCUCUCAGACCAGGCUGCAGGAGAAAAUGACUUGCCAUACUGACACCAUACAACACCAUGACGAUGGUCGAUGGACACCAUUAUGUUCAAAAACUCAACAGUGCUAUCUUGCAUUUGUACGAGCAUCUAUGCAUUAGGUUGGAAACUUCAAGUCUUAAGUUUGUUAAUGAGAGCAAUGCAAUAUUCUAAAGGGUCUGACGUGUAAGCGAAACAGGUGUAUGUCUAUCCGUCCGCUGAAAACCAUAUUUAGGUGUUGUAGAAGCUCUAAAUAAUUAGUUUUUUCUUGCUUUCAAGGUGCCAUUUUAUUUCAGGAUUUGCUGAAGUAAUCAAGUAAUGUGGAGCAGUUGCUCAUUCAAAUUUUAUAUUUUCUUAAUCAUUACCCUUCCUUGUUAGUGCUGUACUACCUCUGUAGAUAAAUGUAAGACUAACGUCCUACUUUUCUUUACAGAGGGAGUACUUUUUUUGGAGUAUUAAUUUCUGUCAUUCUGAUGUAUUGUCAUUCUUGCCUCUUUCUUUGGUUACAAUUUUUUCUGAUAAUCGCUGUUUGAAUUAGAUUUUUUAAGUUAUAUCGUGGACCUUUUCUUAUGUCCAAUUAGUUCUGAUUUGGCAAAAACCAAAUUGCCAAGUGUUGACAAUUGGCACACUGCAAUGUUGCUUACAGUGAUUGUUGAACGUUAACUCGAGGUAUCCUGCGUGGUUUGGACUUUGUGAUGCUAAUUAUCCGUCGUACCAGUUGAUAUGCCUUUAAAGUUGAAGCCAUAAAAAAUGUAGUGCACAUUGAUUUUCUUUGUGAUACUUCACAUCCCUUUGUUUUGGUGGUAGUACAUUGUAGCCUGUAGAAGUACGAGCUUUAUUUUUGCAUGAUUCAUGUUUUUAUAGUUCCAUACAUGGUUAUCUAAUAAGCUAGCCAAAGUUAGGUGAUGGUGUUAUCCAAUUUAUACAUCUUCACAAAUGCUGCUUAGCUAAAAUUUCCUUAUUGUUCAAGAAUAACAGGUGUUCAAGCAAUAUGACAACGAAUCUGAUUUGUACUAGUGGGUGAUCGAGAGCCUGGUUAUUGAUACAAUGCAACUUUACUGUGAACAAAAAUGUUCCUUGAAAGUUGGUUGACACUUCUGGAUAUUGAUACAAUGCAACUCUGCUGUAUGGGAAUUGCAUAUUAAUUAGGUCUUUUUACUAUACUGCAUAUAUACACUUAGUGACACUUCCUUGAAACUGAAGGAAAUAUUCUUUAUAUUGUAGCAAUACUUGGACACUUCCUUGAAACUGCAUAUAUACACUUAGUGACACUUCCUUGAAACUGAAGGAAUUAUUAUGUUGAUUUUUGUAUGUAACAAUACUUGGACUGUAUGGCCUUUCUUUUUACUAUACUGCAUAUAUACACUUAGUGACACUUCCUUGAAACUGAAGGAAUUAUUAUGUUGAUUUUUGUAUGUAACAAUACUUGGACUGUAUGGC